rnacentral:rRNA from 1 species
CCUACGGGUGGCAGCAGUGAGGAAUAUUGGUCAAUGGGCGCGAGCCUGAACCAGCCAAGUCGCGUGAGGGAAGACGGUCCUAUGGAUUGUAAACCUCUUUUGUCGGGGAGCAAAAGACGCCACGCGUGGCGUUCCGAGAGUACCCGAAGAAAAAGCAUCGGCUAACUCCGUGCCAGCAGCCGCGGUAAUACGGAGGAUGUGAGCGUUAUCCGGAUUUAUUGGGUUUAAAGGGUGCGCAGGCGGAAGAUCAAGUCAGCGGUAAAAUUGAGAGGCUCAACCUCUUCGAGCCGUUGAAACUGGUUGUCUUGAGUGAGUGAGAAGUAUGCGGAAUGCGUGGUGUAGCGGUGAAAUGCAUAGAUAUCACGCAGAACUCCGAUUGCGAAGGCAGCAUACCGGCGCUCAACUGACGCUCAUGCACGAAAGUGUGGGUAUCGAACAGGAGUAGAUACCCCAGUAGUC